rnacentral:tRNA from 1 species
GGAAGGGUGCGCCGAAUGGUAAGGCACGGGUUUGCUAAACCCGCGUCCCGCAAGGGGCAUGGGGGUUCGACUCCCCCCCCUUCCGCCA